UACGAAGGGGGCUAGCGUUGUUCGGAAUCACUGGGCGUAAAGCGCACGUAGGCGGAUUUUUAAGUCAGGGGUGAAAUCCCGAGGCUCAACCUCGGAACUGCCUUUGAUACUGGAGAUCUUGAGUUCGGGAGAGGUGAGUGGAACUGCGAGUGUAGAGGUGAAAUUCGUAGAUAUUCGCAAGAACACCAGUGGCGAAGGCGGCUCACUGGCCCGGUACUCGACGCUGAGGUGCGAAAGCGUGGGGAGCA
rnacentral:rRNA from 1 species